GUGGGGAAUUUUGGACAAUGGGCGCAAGCCUGAUCCAGCAAUGCCGCGUGCAGGAAGAAGGCCUUCGGGUUGUAAACUGCUUUUGUACGGAACGAAACGGUCCUGGUUAAUACCUGGGGCUAAUGACGGUACCGUAAGAAUAAGCACCGGCUAACUACGUGCCAGCAGCCGCGGUAAUACGUAGGGUGCAAGCGUUAAUCGGAAUUACUGGGCGUAAAGCGUGCGCAGGAGGUGAUAUAAGAAAGAUGUGAAAUCCCCGGGCUCAACCUGGGAACUGCAUUUGUGACUUGAUAGCUAGAGUACGGUAGGGGGGGAUGGAAUUCCGCGUGUAGCAGUGAAAUGCGUAGAUAUGCGGGGGAACACCGAUGGCGAAGGCAAUCCCCUGGACCUGUACUGACGCUCAUGCACGAAAGCGUGGGGAGCAAACAGGAUUAGAUACCCUAGUAGUCC
rnacentral:rRNA from 1 species